CGUAAACAAAGGGAAGCGAAGUCGUGAGGCCAAGCAAAUCUCAAAAAUAACGCCUCAGUUCGGAUUGUAGUCUGCAACUCGACUACAUGAAGCUGGAAUCGCUAGUAAUCGCGAAUCAGAAUGUCGCGGUGAAUACGUUCCCGGGUCUUGUACACACCGCCCGUCACACCAUGGGAGUCAGUAACGCCCGAAGUCAGUGACCCAACCUUAGGGGAGGGAGCUGCCGAAGGCGGGACGGAUAACUGGGGUGAAGUCGUAACAAGGUAAC
rnacentral:rRNA from 1 species